GACGAACGCUGGCGGCGUGCUUAACACAUGCAAGUCGAACGAAGUGGCGAACGGGUGAGUAACGCGUAAUCAACCUGCCCUUCAGAGGGGGACAACAGGUGGAAACGACUGCUAAUAAAGCAUACUGAAGGAGGGGAUUGCGUCUGAGUAGCUAGUUGGAGGGGUAACGGCCCACCAAGGCGAGGAUCAGUAGCCGGUCUGAGAGGUUGACCGGCCCCAUUGGGACUCAGACACGGCCCAGACUCCUACGGGAGGCAGCAGUGGGGAAUCUUCCGCAAUGGACGAAAGUCUGACGGAGCAACGCCGCGUGAGUGAUGACGGCCUUCGGGUUGUAAAGCUCUGUUAAUCGGGACGCGGUACCGGAAUAGAAAGCCACGGCUAACUACGUGCCAGCAGCCGCGGUAAUUC
rnacentral:rRNA from 1 species